GACGAACGCUGGCGGCGUGCUUAACACAUGCAAGUCGAACGGUGAAGGUGGAGCUUGCUCCGCCGGAUCAGUGGCGAACGGGUGAGUAACACGUGGGCAACCUGCCCCUGACUUUGGGAUAACGCCUCGAAAGGGGUGCUAAUACCGAAUACGAGCUGGCCAGGCAUCUGGUUGGCUGGAAAGUUUUUCGGUCAGGGAUGGGCCCGCGGCCUAUCAGCUUGUUGGUGAGGUAACGGCUCACCAAGGCAAC
rnacentral:rRNA from 1 species